AUUGUUGCCUUCAUUUUGGUGAACCGGUGAGUAUGAAAGAACAUAUUUAUAUCAGUUUGCCCCAAACUUGUGAUCAAAGAGCUUGAAAUUAUAUCCCCUUGAAGUUCAUUGUGGUUUCAAAUCUUCAAAAAGAGGCGCGUUGGAGUCGAUUUGAGGUUAUGGUUGUUAACACAGACAGAUUGUUUGUGAAGGGGUCCAUAUAUAAUAAGUUCUAAGUUUAAAGUAAUCCGUUUUCCAAUCUUCUUGGAUCUAGAGGCUUACUGCUUAGACCCAUACAACAUGGUUGCUUCCUAUAUAGAAGCAGCAAUUAUUAUGGAACAAAAACAAAAGCUAUGGCAAUGGACUCUCAAGAGAACACGGUAAUAAGCUUUUGUUUGCCAUUGUCAUAGUAUUUUUGGGCGAAUUGGAAGAUGUAUCCUGAUGAAAUAAACUUUAUAAGGAUUUUCUUUUACAAGGCAUGUCAGGAAAUCUGCUGGGGCCAUCACUGCUGAAUGUACAUAUUCACGAUACCGUUGCCAGAAUGGGUUGUCUACCUAGGUUGAUUCAAGAAGAGGGAAAAAUUACACCAAAGGAGGGAAACUCCAGUCACAAAAGCUUAAAGAGACUCCAAGGAUGAUGGAGUUAUUUUCAGCUAAAAGAACUCUUUGGUUUGGGGAAAGAAGCAUAGAAUAUGCUAGAGGGCAAGCCAGAUAACCAAGCUGAAGGUUGCAGGGCAGCAAAGCAGUGUAACCAAGGGGGAAUAUGAUCUACACUAGAAAGGAAAGAAAGGAAUAGACGUAUAUAUAGUUCAUGCCUUGAAAAAGUUAAUAGUCUACAGAAACAUUAAAAUACUUACUGCAAAUUUCUUUUAGCACUGUCAUUUGAUGCUAAAGGGUUUCUUUUCCUAUCGAUUGAUACACAAGAAAGGUUAUAAAAUAAUAAUAUGAAUAAUCAUAUUUUUAAUGACAACAAAAAAAAAAAAA